UAUGUAUGCCAAUUGGUGCUUGUUUUUGUUGUCCCUUUUAGUGUGUAUCUCUGAUGAUCUUUCAAUCUCGGUGAUCAAUGUCUGUCACUUUGGUGGGGAGAUGAAUUGUGCUGUUCUGUUUGUUGUAUGUUCAGUUGAUGAUUCGCUUGACAUAUCCACAAGGUACAGUAUGUGUGAUCCAACCACACGUCGCAUAGUUGAAUUCCGAAGCAAUUAGCUUGAUUACCUGCGGUCCAUCUAAUUCUCAUCUAAUGCUGAUUAGUUUAAGCGAGUCAACACAUAGGACGGAAAGACCCUUUUAUAGUUUUCUCAAGGGGAGUGUACCGUGUGCGGGGGCAUAUCUCUGUUCCUUUGUAUGGUUGUUUAACAAUUUGUGAAAUGCUUGUAGUAUGAUAAUCUAGAUAGUGGGGAUAUGUUACAGAAAGUGUUGUGCCUGGCCUCACAUGUACAUGAGUUGGUUUAUCAUUAAGUGCUCUCUUUCCCACUAAAUUUCACAUUUGCCAUCUGAAAAAAACAAAUCCACAUUUACCUGAUUUCAAGUUCUUAUGGACCUUAUGGUAAAGUAUUUAAGUAAUUUUAGUCGGCUCAAAAGGCUCCAAGAUUCUUUGUCUAUCAUUUCCUGUUCAAAACUGACAACAGAACUUUGUGAAGCCUUUCAGUUUGUCUUUGUUUCAGUUACUUUACCAUUCGGUCUUGAUGCCUGAACUAUGUGAACAUUGUCAGCUUAGUAAAAUGGUAUGAACUUGUGUGCCAUACACAUAGCAGGUCGAAAAAUUACCAUUGUAUUUGCAUAUACUGCUUGUGACACAAUUUUCUGAAAACAUGUUGGUGGUCAUUGGUCAACAAAAGUUUUCAGCAUUCGGCACGGUGUUAAUUAUCUUGAAUUUAUUGUGCUUCUAGAAUUAUAGAUUUCCGAAUAAUUAGAUGGUCAGCUAUGCAAUAUAAUAUUCCCAUAGUAUUGAAAUAUUCUGUUCUGCAAAUAGUCCUUCAGCAAAUGGCGCUUACACUUAAUAUGGGAUACUCCAAAUCCAUAAGAGCAGGCUAUAUCUGAUAUUUUCUCCAUACAGAGUCGGCAGCGACUUGAUUUAUAUUUUCCGCUACUUGUCAAUAUGAUGGCCUGUUGUAUAUAAAUGAGGCAUGGCCAUCACUUAUACUUGGGAACUACUUUUUAGUGAUAGUUGUAUUGACUAAGGUACUAUUUUUUCUUUCUUAAAGAUUGAUUUCUUCAGUGGUGUGUGUUUUACUUUACAGUUUUGAUAAGAUUCCAUUGCCAACACACUUUUUUCUUGACAGGGAACUACGGCGGGCUUAUGCUUACUGAACUAUAUUCGAAACUAUCAGAGUGUAUAGCAGAUUAGAGCAGAUUACAGCAGCCUGAAAGAUUGUUGGCCAUUAACGGUUAUCCAUGGCACUAAAACUACUUGAUCUCAAUACAUUCACCUCACAACACUUGUUGGCGAAAACAUGUGCUAUAGCACCAAAGAAGUUGAGGUCAAAUUAAUGAGGUCAUCGACUUGAAGAUUGAUAAAUAUGGUUCUGUUAUUAUGCAGGAGUUGUGUGAUCUGAGGAGAAACUAUUCUCUUGCAAAUCGGAUAAUUGUUGUAGGAAUUAAAAGGCACAUGAUUGUACUGUUGUUCUGGGAUUUCGUUUCUUACGUUCCUCGACCCUAAUGUCUACAUGAGGUGUGAGUUCAACGGAUAAAGGAAAUCACAUUACUAAUAGAAUGAUGCCGCAGCAAAGAAAAUGCUCUCAGCCUUGGACGAUCCAUUCACUCGAUUCUUGAAACCAUUACCUUUUCUGAAGCAAGACUAGCUAGCACCCAAGGUGCCGUGGCAGGUGUACGUUUAUCCAUUGGCUACCCGUUGGAGCAUCACUUGCGGUGCUCUUUAUAAUGUCACUUGGUGGGUUUUGCAGAAAUGACUGUCUAGAGACGUUUUAUCUUGAUAAUUGACAACAUAAGAGUGCAAAAAAUUUGACAGCAGAUCGCUUAUGGGGUCAUCAAGGAAACUCAAUAGAUGGCUAUUUCAGUGGAGAUUAUACCAGAGAUGUUGUUUUGAAAGUAUAUGCCAGGAGAGAAAGAUAUACUUGAAACCCGAUGAGGUCAAUGAUGUGGAGAUUUUACCAGAGAUGUUGUUUUCAAGUAAGAUUUUGUGUGAGAUUAUACCGAUCGCACCAGCACGCCACAUUGUUGCUCCACGGCAAAGGCAGCGAGCGACUGGCUGGCUGCUGCUGGCUUGUACGUGUGGAAGGCAGUUGUUCACGGCAGACCAGUGAGCGGCGGCGGGUGGGCGCGACCACAUGGUGGUUGGAAGGUAGGCUUCGCGGCGUUCAACCUCGGCCACCAUCGUACCACGAUCUCGGCCCACCCGGAAAGUCGGAUGAAGAGGUGGUGGACGACUGAUCCCGGAGAGGAGAACAAGCCUCCGAGCACGUGCUCGUCAACUCCAUGCCGGCCGCUCCAAGCGCCCCUGCUUCGUGUCUUCAAGGCAGGCGCCGAGAUAGCCUUUGCAGCGAGCUGUGGUGUGUGGACUCUGCGGCGAGAUGGGAUUCAGAAUCCUUUUUCGUGAUAGCACAUCCAAGGAAGGAAGGAGAUUGAGGUUGGCACCUCCUGAAGGUGUCAUGCAUGCUCUUCACCGAGAGAGGGAAGGGCAUCUUUUUCUUGGGUUGCAGUUUCCACCUUGUUGUUGGGUGAGAGCUCUUGUGGAUAAUCAGACAUGGGGUGCAUGGCAAAAUUAGGACAGACUGAAGGCAGCAAAUUCCGCGUUGGUCGUGCACUUUGAGGAGAAGACAUUGUCUUUGUAUAAGUGCCCCUACAAUCAUCUCUUUACAGCAGAGAUAAGGCCUUCAGAUAGAUAUGGCCGCAUAAAUCGCACCGAUGGAUCCAGUCCUUCGCUAGGUCCAACCUACCUUGCACCAGCCUCAAGCACGUUAUUCAGUCAACGCAUAUUCUGUCUUUUGGCAUGUGUAUGCUUGCUCUUGUGCUCAUGUUGUAAUCGUGACCUGUAAUCAGUCCAUGAUCCUUGUGUGACCAGAAGUUGGGCAUAACUGCAUUGUUACUGAGAAGAUGUGAAUAUUAACUUAGGGAUCGGAGCUGAAGCUCUAGCCGAUAGCAAAGAUAUGAAGUCUGUGCUCUGUCUUAUGUUUGCAAGUAUAUUGAUGUAACUUCACAUCUUGAAUGGAGUCACUCCUAUGUGUACUGCCGCUGUAAUUACACAACAUGGAUUUUCCAUUUUUGUGAUCAGAAAUUUUGCCAAGAAACUUGUUGGAUUAA